rnacentral:lncRNA from 1 species
CCCUAGGUUCCUCCAUGGUAUUAUAUCAGUGCUUGACAGACUUCAUCAUCUGCACACUGUGGAACCCUUCUGCUGAGUAUCCUCAGAUAAAAUAACCCAGGUCUAGCAGUCCACAUGGCACACAGGAAAUGAGAAACCAGAUCCUCCUGACUUGCAGGAGUGUAUCCUCCAUACGCUUUUUUUUAAAGUCACCAAAACUUAGACUGGAAAUUUUAAAGACAUCUGGAAUUCUGGAAAAAGUUUGCUUGCUGGUGCUUCCAGUCCUGAUGCAAACCUGGGCUCCCUGUACAGAGUGGGAUAAAGGGUCAGAAGGGAAGAGUGAUGAUUACAUGGCCUCACUAACCAACUAUCGGGUUCGUGGACUCUGAUAAAGUGUCAUACAUUGAGAGCCAAAGAAAACAGUUCAAUCACAGAAGCUUCACCUUGGAAAUGCACUGGGGAAAAUCACUGGCCCUGCUGGGUUGCUCAACAAUGGUUCCAGCCAUGAAAUCCAUGGAUUCUUACCUGCCAGGACACAUGAACAUCAGUUGCUAGAUAUGAAGAGUCAUCCUCAUGCUGUUCACUUUGUGAUAGUAUCUAUACUGCUUUUACAAUAUUUUUAGUUAUAUGUAGCUGCCAAGAAAAAAUGCUGCCAUUAAAAAAAAAACCCAUGAAUCACUAUGUGUGUCUGAUUCUUCUCUAUAAAGGUUCUUUUGCAAGGACAGGUAUUAAAAAUCAGGACCCACAGACAACUUGGAGGCCAAACCAGUUCAGUAAGAAAAUUAGAAACUUUUUGACAAACAUAACCUGCAAAACUGAAAACUAAAACUGCCUGCAAGUGUUGAGCGUGAACUUUUUCCAAGACUCUGAUGACCAUUUGACUAUAUCAAAUCUCAUUAGGGAAAAAUGUACAGAUGUGUGAGUGGUUUAUAAGAUGUUGGUGGAAAUCUGCCUUUUCAUGUAUGUCAGGAAGAAAAGAAUUAACUGAGGAAACCUUAAACUACAUUUUCUUCACUGCCUUACUGGUUCUCAUCAAAGUUAUUACCUUGGAAAUCAGAAAGUUUGGAAAAUCUGUAGAGAAGUUUUGGGUUUUUAAAAAGGCAUAUGUGCAUUUCUCAUGUACCAAUGUUUAGUUUUCUCCUCUUGGUUGUUUUCUUCCUACUGUGCAACAGAUAAUUUAGUUGUUGGUACAGCAACAACUUGUCUUUGAUAGCUUAGUCAGCAAUAAAAUCUAAGGACAAUUCUGGUAGAAUAUAUAG